rnacentral:lncRNA from 10 species
CAGAGGCGCACAGGACCGGCGACGGCUGCACUGGGGCUGGAACUGGCGGCAGGGCAUUGUCAGGGCGGGACCCGGCGAUCGCAGGGUGGGCGGCUUGCAGGGAUCAGAAGCAGGAGGCAGGAGGUCCGGGCACCCGGCUCUGGGCAUCAGGCCGCUCUUUAUCCUGAAUCCCCGCCUCCCUCUGCCCUGACGCCCUGCGCGCACUCCAUCUCAGGCCGCGAAGUGGGCCAUGUGAGCAGUCUCCCUCCUCCUUUCCCCGCGGGCGACACGAGGAGCCCAGGGCGCAGCGGGCUCGAAUCACAUAGUGCCCGCCCCGGAUUUCGUGCGCAGAGAGAACCCCAGGCCCCACAGGCCCUCCCACGCUCUGCCCAGAUCCCUGGGCAAGAGUCCACCGUCAGCAUCGUCGCUUAGUGCUCUCCCUGGUUAUUCCAGAAACACCAGUCGCUGAGGAUCUCUCACCUGCAGUUCCCUGCUGGAUCUUCAUUCUGACUGGUAAGUUAUUCCUUCUUUGCUGAGGUCUUCACACCUCCUCCUGUGGUUUUCAUGGAAAGGAACUUAUGUAACCCCAUACUUGCUCCUUCGUGUGACCUGCACCUGGUUGUGGAAAAUCCUGAUGCAUUCUUUUUCCUUAAACCUCUGAGUACCUGCUGAUCCCCAUGUGGGGAUAAUCUCUCCUGUGCUUUUCAUUAGAAAGGUAGCCAGGUG